rnacentral:misc_RNA from 1 species
GUUCAAGCCAUCGAUAGACAAAACCACGAAAUAAGAGACGUAACGAUACACAUGCAAAAAAAGAAGCCGGAACCUCACUCGCGAUGGUAGCCUGUAAUUACACACGCCUCCUCCCUUCCCAAGACCGGAACCAUCCUCACUAUUCUCAUCGCCUUCGCAAUAGGUCCCCGCAUCCAAGAUCUACGCCUCACGGGAGGGAGAGGAC